rnacentral:rRNA from 1 species
GAUCAUGGCUCAGGAUGAACGCUGGCGGCGUGCCUAACACAUGCAAGUCGAGCGAGAUACUGUUGAACAGAGAUUCGUCAACGGGAUACAGUGGAAAGCGGCGGACGGGUGAGUAACGCGUAGGCAACCUGCCCCUUACACAGGGAUAGCCAUUGGAAACGAUGAUUAAAACCUGAUGACACCUGAGGAUGACAUCUUCCUGAGGUCAAAGAUUUAUCGGUAAGGGAUGGGCCUGCGUCUGAUUAGAUAGUUGGUGAGGUAACGGCCCACCAAGUCAACGAUCAGUAGCCGACCUGAGAGGGUGAUCGGCCACAUUGGAACUGAGACACGGUCCAAACUCCUACGGGAGGCAGCAGUGGGAAUAUUGCACAAUGGGGGAAACCCUGAAUGCAGCAACGCCGCGUGAAGGAAGAAGGUCUUCGGAUCGUAAACUUCUGUCCUAGAGGAAGAUAAUGACGGUACUCUUGGAGGAAGCCCCGGCUAACUACGUGCCAGCCGCCGC